rnacentral:rRNA from 1 species
UACGAGGGGGGCAAGCGUUGUUCGGAAUUAUUGGGCGUAAAGGGCGCGUAGGCGGUGCGGUAAGUCACCUGUGAAACCUCUAGGCUCAACCUAGAGCCUGCAGGCGAAACUGCCGUGCUUGAGGGUGGGAGAGGUGCGUGGAAUUCCCGGUGUAGCGGUGAAAUGCGUAGAUAUCGGGAGGAGCACCGGUGGCGAAGGCGGCAUCCUGGACCAACACUGACGCUGAGUGAGCGAAAGCCAGGGGAGCAAACGGG